rnacentral:tRNA from 1 species
GGGAUGUGAUAGUAAAUGGUUUUACUGAUUGAUUGCAGAUCAUUUUUUUUAGGUUCGAUUCCUACAUAUCUCU